rnacentral:rRNA from 1 species
UACGUAGGGGGCUAGCGUUGUCCGGAAUCAUUGGGCGUAAAGCGCGUGUAGGCGGUCCGGUAAGUCCGCUGUGAAAGUCGAGGGCUCAACCCUCGGAUGCCGGUGGAUACUGUCGGGCUUGAGUACGGAAGAGGCGAGUGGAAUUCCUGGUGUAGCGGUGGAAUGCGUAGAGAUCCGGAAGAACACCAGUGGCGAAGGCGGCAUCCUGGACCGGGAUUGACACUGAGGCGCGAAAGCCAGGGGAGCAAACGGG